CCCUUCUAGCCACAAUCAGAAGAUCAUGGCCACCAAGUUUUUUUUGCAGCAUAGCUAACUUAGCUAGCUACACCUGAAGAUGUGUCAAUUAAUUUCAGGUGUUAAGGUUUUUGCAGAAAUGUGCCACCAUCAGCAGUUAACGUUAAAAUAAGUUAGUGUUUUGGGGAUUUUGAGCAGCUGUAAAUAAUCAGUCAGACCUGGCCUCAGGAGAAAAGACGCUGAAACUUCAGUCAUUGCAACCCAGUAACAGAAGCCCCUCCUGGCACGGUCAUUGAACUCAUUCCUGAACUGGGGCUUGUUUUGAGGUGAGGUAUUUGGUGUAUUUUCAUUCACACCUAAAGAAAGAAAUAUAUAGUGAAACAUCAGGGGAGCAACUAAUAAAAAAAAAAGUAAGAUAUUUUAACAGCUCUUGUUAAUGUGGGACCAACCGUAUGCUUGCACCGUGGAGGGAACCGGAUCAUUAACUGCAGUUUCAUCCAGAAUCAAUAGAGGCAACAGGCUGCUGCUGGGGUGGUCUGUCUGGAGAUGGGGAAACAUGACAGGGUGACUCCUUGGCCAAAAUGUCAUGCUGGUGAAGAAAAUCGAAGGAUCGUGAAUAUUAGCUACCGUGUAUUCCUCCAGUCCAACAAAGUGACACCGUGCACAACACGGCUGCAAAACAAAUACUUAACAUGUGUGAGAGAGAAACCUCUCGACAGUGACCAAGUACUUACUUCUCUCCCCUAAAACGACUUGAGUUCCAUGUUUUUUUCUUUUCCCCUGUCUGCAUGUUCAUGAUAUUACUGCAGCCAGCUCACCUCGACUCACACACACAAAGAUGUGUUGUGUUACUUUGUCGCUUAGCAACCAGUUUGACAACAGUACCCCUGCUGUGUUAAACUAGAGCAGGUUAUAAUUUGAUAUUGUGACUUAAAAGGGACAUCCUUGUGUCUGUCUGUGACUUUAAACAGUCGGCUUUAUACUGUGUGAAGUUAUUUAGCUUGUACCAACCUUAAUUACAAUAAUUACAAUCAAAUUGCUUUAAGAUUUUAAAAUGCUAAUCCGCUGUAUGUUGUUAAAAUCAGUUAACUUUGUUGCACCGGAAAGCCCUGGAUAUUCCUAAAUCAUAAAUCAGCAGUGACAAAACGAAACAUUUCAUCACACUUACAAAAUAAACAGUAGUAAUGUUGUAGUUCUCCACCAACAUAAUAGCUUCUCAAUAAUCAUCGCUAUACGCUCUGAGCAAUAAGGUCUCACUUUUAUGAUUUUUGUUUUGUGACUAGUCAGAAUUUACUUGUUCAUAAUCAAUCGCUGUACUUACAAGUGGCUGAGCAAAUAAAUAAAAUAGAAAGUCAUCACAGCUUUCAACCAAUUAAGAAAUAUAUCUUUUAUUUAUGUAUUACACAAACAAUUAAGGUAUUUGAGAUACACCAGCAAUGUAUACAUUUAAAACAUGGUGACAGAAGCACAAAAUAGGCAGAAUUAAAAAGUAGGCAAAAAAAAAGCAUAAACUCCUUAGUCAGUGUUUUUUUACAGCCUAGUCUUAAAAAAUGCAAAGACAAUGUUAAUUGUUUUGUUUUUUUACCAUAGGAAAUCAGCUGCAAGACAAAAUGUUAGAAGAGACUCGGUCCAUUUAUGGUGGUAGGUAUAUUCUGACAAAAAGUCUACAUUCACCAGAAUAGGACAACUUGGAAACACCCAUAAUCACUCCAUCUUUUUCAGAUUUAAAGUGCCAAAGCAAAAGCUUUAUGAUGAUUGCUGAACAGUUCAGUCUUUAAACUGCUAGAAUAACAAAGUAAGAUGUUUUUUGAGGGGAGAGGUGCAGUAAACUGAAUUGGUUAAGAUCACCUUAUCUCAGGCAUUCCCAAUAAGAAUAUUAACAACACAUAUCUCUCUGAAAUUCCUAUCUAAUGUGACUAUAUACUUUUUAUUUAGUCUCCUUUAUAACGUGAUAUUUAGGACAGAAGAGCAGUUAUAACACUGCAUGCAUGACAAAAACAUAGUUGUACUGUAAGAUCUGUCUUGUGCAUAUGAUCGAAUAGUAUUUUAGGCCAGAACCUGGCGAUAUGGCAAAAUAAAGUAGAGAGUAACAUAAUCAGAUAGGCAUCAAUAACUAAAAUUUCUCUAAUUGCCUUUUAGGAAUAAACCUUCUUUAAACAAAUCCUUAAAUACCAUUUUAGAGGUUAAACAAUACUAUUUAACUGAAGAUGAACUGAACACUCCUUGUCCUAAAAGGUAAAUGCUACAUACAGUUUUUUUCUGCAGGGGAAGACAUUUGCCAAAGCCAAUGAGUGAAUAUAACAGGCAGCAGAUCAAACUCCUUUGCAGCAAAUGUAAGACCUCUAGAGAAGUCUUUGCAACAGCUGCUCACUCACCCAAGAAGUAAUUCCAACGUUGUAUCUUAUAUUUCAUUAAUUCUGGCUUCUGUGCUUUCUAAUAGUGUGGAAUAUAAUAUUGCUGUCUAUACGAGACCAUUAUCCAUCCAGUUUCAUGCCUCAUUCCUCCUGGCAAUGGAUCCUCUCCAGCAGAUGCUGCUCUACCCGCUGGUUCAUGCGGUGGAGAUCUUUCAAUACACUGGGCAGAUCUUCCAGCUCCUCGUGGAGACACCGUGCUAUUUCCAACCUCCUGUAGUCUUCUGCUCGUACCAGUCGCCGAAUAACCUGAAGAGCACGAUCCUUGAGGCUGUAAACUGUGUAAACCAAACGAGAGAAAUUGUUGAAAAAAUGUUAAGCAAAGACGUUUCUGUAAAAGAUUUCUGAAGUUUUUUUUUUUUAAUUUUGUGACACUUUCAACACUGUAAGCAAAAUGUAAUUCACCAAUUUUUAUGCAGUGUGGUAGAAUUAUCAGUACAAGAGAUCUCAAAUUCCUGUCAAAUAAAGCCAAGACUACCUGCAUGACCUGAUAAAGGCAAGUGGAAAACUAUUAGUACUAUUUUAGUAAUUUGUCCUUUUAAACUAUCAGACUGGAAAUUGUUCGCAGCACCGUAAUCAACAAUAGUUCGACAGGCUUUUAAA